GCGUCCACUGUGGACUGACUACGGAUCAGAAGGUUGGGGGUUCGAAUCCCUUCGGGCGCA
rnacentral:tRNA from 1 species